rnacentral:rRNA from 1 species
CCCCUAGACGUUCUGGGCUGCGCGCGCGCUACAAUAAUACGCACAGCGAGUAUCACCGAGCUCGAAAGGGCAAGGUAAACAAUAGAAAAGGUACUGUAAUGGUUAUAGAUCCUUGUAAUUAUUGAUCUUCAACGAGGAAUUCCUAGUAAGUAUGUGUCAUCAUCACGCACUGAUUACGUCCCUGCCCUUUGUACACACCGCCCGUCGCUCCUACCGAUUGAGUGGUCCGGUGAGGCUUUGGGAUCUGAGCGGAAAGAGCGUUUCGCUGUUUCUGCUCGGAAAACUCAGUCGAACCUUAUCAUUUAGAGGAAGGAGAAGUCGUAACA